UUGCAGUUCAGAGACUGUCACACCAGCAAGUGGAACAUGUAGGUUUGGUACAGGUUUAGAAGUUGCAGAGAUGAUUGGGAAGUUUUAUAAUAUGCAUAUACUUAUAUAUUUAUCAGAGAAAAUAGGAUAUCCAGACAUUUUAUCAAAUGUUCACAGCUUCAAAAAAGUUUUCUGAAAAAUAAGGUUACAGCACAGAUCCUGGUUUUGGUGUAUCUUUGCCAACAUGUCCUAUUCCUCUGCUGAAUAAAUCAUCAUUUGGGCCGAAGCAGUGGCAAAGAUAACCAGACGUAUGGCACUUUGAAAACCUGACCUGGUGUUGCACCUGAGACCUCCCCAUUCAGCCCGGUGCUGGGUAGCAUCACUAAUAGUGAUGGAGUGCAGUCGGCCUCCUAUUGACUGCAGUGGCUGGGAGGCUUCCCUGGCUGGAUGUGAAUGUGAGCCAGCUCAGUGACAGAGGAAAGCCUUGUAUCAGCAGAAAGCUGACAGACUGGUGCUUGGCCUCUAGAGCACAUUAAACAAGCACAGAAUAAGAUGGUUAUGCAUUAAGUGUAACCUGACUCUGAGCAGAUUACUAAUGCUCACUAAACCUUCACCCCAAGCUUAGGAAAAUCAUCUCCACCCUGGCUCAAAAUCAAAGCAGACAAUUUCUGCACAAAAUUCUGCAAAUCAUUAUGAUUUCACCAUUAUUCUUAUGGUUUUAAACAGGUUAAAGCAUUCUUGCACCCUAUGCCUUUUACUUAAUAUUCUAAACCGUAGGCCAUUUAUCCACAAAUAAACACUCACCACUCAAUGUAUUUACAUAA